GCCUACCAAUAGGACACUACUUAACCUCUUGUAAUUGCAAUCAGCGUCAGAAAAACAUAAUAGUUACAACUUUCAACAACGGAUCUCUUGGUUCUGGCAUCGAUGAAGAACGCAGCGAAAUGCGAAAAGUAGUGUGAAUUGCAGAAUUCAGUGAAUCAUCGAAUCUUUGAACGCACAUUGCGCCCCUUGGUAUUCCAUGGGGCAUGCCUGUUCGAGCGUCAUUUGUAUCUUCAAGCUCUGCUUGGUGUUGGGUGUUUGUCCCGCUUUGUGCGUGGACUCGCCUUAAAGCAAUUGGCAGCCGGCGUACUAGUCUGGGAGCGCAGCACAAUUUGCGCCUCUGAACCUGAACGCUUGCGUCCAUG
rnacentral:rRNA from 1 species